rnacentral:rRNA from 1 species
AGAGUUUGAUCAUGGCUCAGGAUGAACGCUGGCGGCGUGCUUAACACAUGCAAGUCGAACGAGGAUUAUCGGUUGAAGUUUUCGGAUGGAAACUGGUAAUUCCUAGUGGCGGACGGGUGAGUAACGCGUGGGGAACCUGCCCCAUUCCGGGGGAUACCAGUUGGAAACGACUGUUAAUACCGCAUAAGCGCACAGCAUUGCAUGAUGCAGUGUGAAAAAACUCCGGUGGAAUGGGAUGGCCCCGCGUCUGAUUAGCCAGUUGGCAGGGUAACGGCCUACCAAAGCGACGAUCAGUAGCCGGCCUGAGAGGGCGACCGGCCACAUUGGGACUGAGACACGGCCCAAACUCCUACGGGAGGCAGCAGUGGGGAAUAUUGCACAAUGGGGGAAACCCUGAUGCAGCCGACGCCGCGUCCCCGAGUGAAGAAGUAUUUCGGUAUGUAAAGCUCUAUCAGCAGGGAAGAAGAUGACGGUACCUGCACAAGAAGCCCCGGCUAACUACGUGCCAGCCGCGGC